UAGUGGCGAACGGGUGAGUAACACGUGGGCAAUCUGCCCUGCACUCUGGGACAAGCCCUGGAAACGGGGUCUAAUACCGGAUACGAGCCUCCUGGGCAUCUGGGAGGUUGGAAAGCUCCGGCGGUGCAGGAUGAGCCCGCGGCCUAUCAGCUUGUUGGUGAGGUAACGGCUCACCAAGGCGACGACGGGUAGCCGGCCUGAGAGGGCGACCGGCCACACUGGGACUGAGACACGGCCCAGACUCCUACGGGAGGCAGCAGUGGGGAAUAUUGCACAAUGGGCGCAAGCCUGAUGCAGCGACGCCGCGUGAGGGAUGACGGCCUUCGGGUUGUAAACCUCUUUCAGCAGGGAAGAAGCGAGAGUGACGGUACCUGCAGAAGAAGCGCCGGCUAACUACGUGCCAGCAGCCGCGGUAAUACGUAGGGCGCAAGCGUUGUCCGGAAUUAUUGGGCGUAAAGAGCUCGUAGGCGGCUUGUCGCGUCGAUUGUGAAAGCCCGGGGCUUAACUCCGGGUCUGCAGUCGAUACGGGCAGGCUAGAGUGUGGUAGGGGAGAUCGGAAUUCCU
rnacentral:rRNA from 4 species